AGUGAACGCUGGCGGUAGGCCUAACACAUGCAAGUCGAACGGCAGCACAGUAAGAGCUUGCUCUUACGGGUGGCGAGUGGCGGACGGGUGAGGAAUACAUCGGAACCUACUUUUUCGUGGGGGAUAACGUAGGGAAACUUACGCUAAUACCGCAUACGACCUACGGGUGAAAGCAGGGGAUCUUCGGACCUUGCGCGAUUGAAUGAGCCGAUGUCGGAUUAGCUAGUUGGCGGGGUAAAGGCCCACCAAGGCGACGAUCCGUAGCUGGUCUGAGAGGAUGAUCAGCCCCAUGGGAAGUGAGAAACGGCCCAGCCCCCUAGGGGGGGGAGCAGGGGGGAAUAUUGGACAAGGGGGGCAAGCUUGAACCAGCCAUCCCGGGGGGGUGAAGAAGGCCUUGGGGUGGUAAAGCCCUUUUGUUGGGAAAAAAAAGCAGCGGGUUAAUACCCCGGUGUUCGGAGGGUACCCAAAAAAAAAGCACCGGCUAAUUUCGU
rnacentral:rRNA from 1 species